UACGUAGGGGCCUAGCGUUGUCCGGAAUCAUUGGGCGUAAAGAGCGCGUAGGCGGCCCGGUAAGUCCGCUGUAAAAGUCAAAGGCUUAACCUUUGAAAGUCAGUGGAUACUGCCGGGCUAGAGUCCGGAAGAGGCGAGUGGAACUCCUGGUGUAGCGGUGGAAUGCGCAGAUAUCAGGAAGAACACCAACGGCGAAGGCAGCUCGCUGGGACGGAACUGACGCUGAGGCGCGAAAGCGUGGGAGCGAACAGG
rnacentral:rRNA from 1 species